rnacentral:rRNA from 1 species
GUGGGGAAUAUUGGACAAUGGGCGAAAGCCUGAUCCAGCCAUGCCGCGUGUGUGAAGAAGGUCUUCGGAUUGUAAAGCACUUUAAGUUGGGAGGAAGGGCAGUAAGUUACUACCUUGCUGUUUUGACGUUACCGACAGAAUAAGCACCGGCUAACUUCGUGCCAGCAGCCGCGGUAAUACGAAGGGUGCAAGCGUUAAUCGGAAUUACUGGGCGUAAAGCGCGCGUAGGUGGUUUUGUAAGUUGGAGGUGUAAUCCCCGCGCUCAACCUGGGAACUGCCUCCAAUACUGCAUGACUAAAGUACGGUAGAGAGUAGUGGAAUUUCCUGUGUAGCGGUGAAAUGCUUAGAUAUAGGAAGGAACACCAGUGGCGAAGGCGACUACCUGGACUGAUACUGACACUGAGGUGCGAAAGCGUGGGGAGCAAACAGGAUUAGAAACCCGGGUAGUCC